UACUCGAGUGGCGAACGGGUGAGUAACACGUGGGUGAUCUGCCCUGCACUUCGGGAUAAGCUUGGGAAACUGGGUCUAAUACCGGAUAGGAACCAUCUUUAGUGUGGUGGUUGGAAAGUUUUUUAGGUGUAGGAUGAGCUCGCGGCCUAUCAGCUUGUUGGUGGGGUAAUGGCCUACCAAGGCGGCGACGGGUAGCCGGCCUGAGAGGGUGUACGGCCACAUUGGGACUGAGAUACGGCCCAG
rnacentral:rRNA from 1 species